rnacentral:rRNA from 1 species
UACGUAGGGGGCAAGCGUUGUCCGGAUUUAUUGGGCGUAAAGAGCGUGUAGGCGGCUUGGUAGGUCCGCUGUGAAAACUCGAGGCUCAACCUCGAGAUGUCGGCGGAAACCACUUGGCUAGAGUCCGGAAGAGGAGAGUGGAAUUCCUGGUGUAGCGGUGGAAUGCGCAGAUAUCAGGAAGAACACCAAUGGCGAAAGCAGCUCUCUGGGACGGUACUGACGCUGAGACGCGAAAGCGUGGGGAGCGAACAGG